AAGUUAAAUUAUUUGGAUCCGCGCAUCACAGUGGCUUGGUGUAAGAAUCACGAGGUGCCGUUGGAAAAAGUCUGCAACAAGACACAAAGGGAGAAGUUUGCGUGGGCUAUCGACAUGGCGG